CUUUUGUGGGGUGCUCGAGUGGCGAACGGGUGAGUAACACGUGAGUAACCUGCCCUUGACUUUGGGAUAACUUCAGGAAACUGGGGCUAAUACCGGAUGGGAGCUCCUGCUGCAUGGUGGGGGUUGGAAAGUUUCGGCGGUUGGGGAUGGACUCGCGGCUUAUCAGCUUGUUGGUGGGGUAGUGGCUUACCAAGGCUUUGACGGGUAGCCGGCCUGAGAGGGUGACCGGCCACAUUGGGACUGAGAUACGGCCCAG
rnacentral:rRNA from 1 species